rnacentral:rRNA from 1 species
UGAUCCUACGGGGCGCAGCAGUGGGGAAUAUUGGGCAACGGGCGCAAGCCUGACCCAGCAACGCCGCGUGAAGGAAGAAGGCUUUCGGGUUGUAAACUUCUUUUCUCAGGGACGAAGCAAGUGACGGUACCUGAGGAAUAAGCCACGGCUAACUACGUGCCAGCAGCCGCGGUAAUACGUAGGUGGCAAGCGUUAUCCGGAUUUACAGGGUGUAAAGGGCGUGUAGGCGGGAAAGCAAGUCAGAUGUGAAAACCACGGGCUCAACCUGGGGCCUGCAUUUGAAACUGUUUUUCUUGAGUACUGGG